rnacentral:rRNA from 1 species
AAGUCGUAACAAGGUUUCCGUAGGUGAACCUGCGGAAGGAUCAUUAACAAAUCCAGUGCUUAUAUGGCUAUAUGGCUAUAUAGCAUAUUCGUUCCCCUCUGCUUCUGGCGGAGGGAGAUAUUCAUUGAUUUAUUGACUGAACCGCGAUUAUAAGAACAACAACUUUUAACAAUGGAUCUCUUGGCUCUUGCAACGAUGAAGAACGCAGUGAAGUGCGAAAAGUAAUGCGAUUUGCAUGCUCUGUGAGUCAUCGAGUCUUUGAACGCAUAUGGCACCUCCUGGCCCUGCUAGAAGGUAUGCCUGUUUGAGAAUCAUAAUCCCCUUUUGACGGCAGUCAAUUACUUGGAUGUUCAGCACCUGUCCAUCUGUAAAGCAUCGUAUGAGAGGGCAGCCAACAAUGUGGUAGAGACGGCUUGUCUUACGCACUGUCUGGCGGCCCCUCUAUAUAGUAGUGGGGUGAUCACGCAGGUGAUUUUCACCACCCUUUAUCAUGUGAUCUCAAAUCAGGCAGGAUUACCCGCUGAACUUAAGCAUAUCAGUAAGCGGUGGAAAAGAAACUAACAAGGAUUCCCUCAGUAACGGCGAGUGAAGCGGGAUCAGCUCAAAUUUUAAAUCUGGGAGCACCGCUCUCCGAAUUGUAGUUUAAAGACGGCCCCCUGGCUGGCGCCGGCGACAUACAAGUCUCUUGGAAUAGAGCAUCACAGAGGGUGAGAAUCCCGUCUGGAUGUCGUCGCGUCGGUCGCACGAGGCCCGUCGACGAGUCGAGUUGUUUGGGAAUGCAGCUCAAAAUGGGUGGUAAAUUCCAUCUAAGGCUAAAUAUUGGCAAGAGACCGAUAGCGAACAAGUACCGUGAGGGAAAGAUGAAAAGCACCUUGAAAAGGGAGUUAAAUAGUGCGUGAAAUUGUUAAAAGGGAAACGAUUGGAGCCAGUAUUGCUGCAGCGGCUCAGCGGCCAACUUGGCCGUGCACUCUGCUGUCGGCAAGUCAACGCGGGCCUGGACGGCUGAACAAACGUUGCAGGAAGGUGGUGCCGGCCCUCGGGUCUGCAUUUUAUAGACUGCAACCGCAUCAGGCCGCCCAGACUCGCAGCCUGCGUACCCAGUGGGAGGACCAGCGGGCCCGGUUUGUGGACAGCACGCUGACCCCAUUCCGCGUCCGCCCUCCACUCCCACUGCAGCGGGCGUCGUUGACGAAAUGGCUUCAAACGACC